UACGUAGGGUGCAAGCGUUGUCCGGAAUUAUUGGGCGUAAAGAGCUCGUAGGCGGUUUGUCACGUCGGAUGUGAAAUCCCGAGGCUUAACCUCGGGCCUGCAUUCGAUACGGGCUGACUAGAGUUCGGUAGGGGAGACUGGAAUUCCUGGUGUAGCGGUGAAAUGCGCAGAUAUCAGGAGGAACACCGGUGGCGAAGGCGGGUCUCUGGGCAGUAACUGACGCUGAGGAGCGAAAGCGUGGGGAGCGAACAGG
rnacentral:rRNA from 1 species